AGCAGUAGAGAAGUUUAUCUCUUCCAACCUUUGAUUUACAAGACCAACGCUAAUAUUCCAGCUACCACUGC
rnacentral:tRNA from 1 species